GCAGGGCUGCCGAGACUCUGCCCGUGUGGGUGUUCAUCACGACAAAUCGCUGUCUGGCUCCUGCUGCAGAUCAUGCAUAAAUAAACAGCAACUUAGCAGUUGAGGGAGUUGUGCAUAUGCUCCCAAACCAAAGCCUGCCCGUAGUUUUUUUCCCUUUAUAGCAGAUGAAAUAACCAGGGUUUUUAAUUCGUCUUCUAAAUCUUCUGUCUUUACACAGUUAGGAUGGGGUGCUCAUUUAGCUCACAUACCCCUGGAGAGGACAGACCGGAGGCAAAGCCUGGGGAAAAGACUGAAGAAGAACGGGUCGAUGCCUGCAAUCAUAAUGGGACUAUUGUUGAGGGGAGCAAGCCAAUCACAGAGCAGAGUGUGUUAAUCAUCCCUCAUGACCUAGCAGAAGCAAUAUGCAAGGACCUGGCAGAGCUGCCUGCUGGGCCCCAGUUUGGUGAGGCUGACUCCACUUCUACAUCAGAACCAACACCUGGACCUGAGCCCACCUCUACAUCUGAACCAACACUUGAAACAGAGCCAGUGACAGAGUUGAAUCAGAGUCUGACCUCUGACCCUUCUGGUAUCGAGGUGGAGGUGUCUAACAAUACCUCCGGAAACUAGAUGGAAGCACAGUCCUUACAGUCUCCCUGUGGAUCCACAAAGGAGAUGAUGGAAAGGAAGGCCUUACAGGGACCAGGAAAGAAAGGGACCAAGGAGAAUGACCAAGCUGGGGUCCUGGGUGAGGGCCUGUCCCACUGAAAUGGCGCACAAGAAUGUCAAAUGCUUCUCUAGUUUCAUUUAAGUGAAAUCACCGUACUGACCAGUUCGAAGUGAAAUGACCCCGAUAUUUCAAGUCUCAUUCUUUGUCUCAGUAGGAAUAACUUUGUAGAGUAUUAGAUUAAUGGCAAAAUUCAUGAAGCAGUCCGUUUAGACCAGGUGUUUACUGACAUUUCUAAUGUUUUUAAAUAUAAAUGCAUAUCAUGGUUUUGCUUUCAAAACUGGAAUAAAAAAAAUUGUAGUAUAAUUUUAUAUGUGUCUCACCUUAAAAUCUCACCAAGUAUUGCAACUUAUCAGAAUUUUAACUUUGUACUUUUAACGCUGUAUUUCACUGCGGAGAACUAAAUUAAUGUGAAGUAUAUGACAGAAUGUAUACCAGAGUAUGGCUAAUCGUAGAAACCUAGAAAAAAAAGUUUUUUGCGUUGUUUUUAAAAUGACAGUCACUCUGAGCAAGUGCAAAUUAAUCUGAUCUCAUAACAGACUUUGUUAAGGACUUUAAAAUGUUUUGUGUUUUGUUUACAUUCUCUCUCUCCACCAUAGUGAUUUUCGCUUUGUCCCAUUAUGAUGUGUACGGCCAUGGACUAUCCCAUAUCACCCGAGUAUUCUCUCCUGCCAUUCUGGGAUUACUCAGAUACUUUACUACAGACUGGAAGAUUCAGCUUAUUUUGAGGAAAGGCUGGGGGAUUAUUGUCUCCACUACCUGAACCUCCAUCCCCCAAAGGCUGAAUCAAGGGUUGCUGUCCACACAUCUCGUCUACUGCUAUUUGGAAGGCAAGACUACUUGAUACUGAUACUUAGAUAACUGGUGUUUGAUUGGACACUGUGUCUAAGCCAUUUACAGUGUGUGCAUCUAUGUGCUUUAAAUUCUUUCCUACCUAGACUUUCAGAGUGGGUUUUUUAAAUUGUUAAACUGGUCGGCUUGACUUUGAUGUAGCCGCUACCCUGUAUAGAUUAUAAAUAAACAGUAUUGUGUUACUAAU